rnacentral:lncRNA from 1 species
UUCUUUUAAAUAAAAUUUUUAAAAACCUCAUCACGAUAAUUGUAACUAUUACAAUAAAUUGUUUCCAGAUAUGAUAAUCUUUUAUAGCCAAAACCCACAUAUAUCCCCCUUUUUUCCAUUGUGUAAACCUCCGAUGAAUUUUAUGUUGAGAAAUACAAAACAAAAAAACAUUUGUAGACCCAUAAUACACAUCUCGUCCAAACCAAUUAAUUAGAGAAGAAAACUGAAAACAAGUUUCAUUAGCCCCAUGCUUUACACACAAAUACAACCCACAAAAAACUAAAUCCAAAUCUCCAACUCCACCAGCCCCCACGGCCCUCAAGGAGUUUAUAAUCUCACCAAAACCAUUAAUAGGAGAAACCUUAUAUUCAUAAUAACGAAAAACAUUCCAAAAGAUGAAGAAACUAUCGUCAAGAACCAGCAGUUUUCUACCAUCAAUGUAACUUAUAAAACUUAACCGAAGAGAUAAACAGACCACCACACUGAGGCACCUGUUAUUUCCAACUCGAUACGUAAUAUCUGUUUGGUCGUAACAUACCCAGAAAUUA